rnacentral:lncRNA from 1 species
CUCCUGCCCAUGUCUUCUUUGCUACUUGGAGCAGCCUCUCUGCUUUGUGUAUAAAACUAAUGAUGCUCUGUAGACUACCUAAAUUAAUAGGCACUGUGAAUUUUUUUUUUCAUGAGCAGGACCGAAGCAGCGAUUUCACCAUAGUUCUCUGUUGCCUAAUGCAUUGCUGGUUUCUAUUCUAGGAAUCAGCAUUCUUUCAGGAAACAUCUCUAGGGAAUCCGUUUUUUUUUUUUUAAUCUGAAGGGAAGAUAGUCUGUUUACACAUCCCUACCAAAUGCCAUAGCAAUAGUAUAUCUGAUAUUUUGGAUAUGAGAGGGAAGGAAAAUGCCAUAAUACAGUUGCAGAAUAGACUAUUACUUUCAAGUAGAAUAGACUGAUGCUUAAGAGUGUUGACGAAUUCCUAAUUCCCAUGUUUAUUUUUGAUAGAAAGGCAGUUGCUACUUUUGUUAUUGGAAAAAGACAUGUGUUAAUCUCCAUUCCCAAGCCCUAGAGCAUGAGCUGCAUGUCAGAAAUUUGUACAGCAAUGCAUUUACCCAGACGUAAAUAUUUGAAAUUUAGAGAUACCGUGAAUCUUUUGAUAACACCAUUUAUAGAAUGCUGUAAAUACCCAGAGAUUUACGGUAAGGAAUUAAUAUGCUGUCUGGUGCUGCUGUUAUUGACUGCAGUGUUGUACAGAAUUUAUCAUGGAUUUUUGCCUGCUGAAAAUGGGACAUUGAGAUUUAGCCAUUCCAAGGAUUGUACUGGAAACUUCUGCUACUGAAUGUGACCGGAUGUGACCGGUUUGUGUUCAGAAGAGUUCCCGCAUUCUCUGAGGCAUUUAAAGCUUGUAAAGAAAUGGUGGCUGGAACUGAAAUGGUGUUUGCCAAGGAAAUAUUCUGCUUGUCGACAGACCAGAGUCCACAAAACAACUGUAAAUACCAACGUGUGCAUGGGUCCACCCUUCUCACAGUCUCAUAGCACAGGGAGCCACAUUCAUUGUCAGCAUCUGUGAAGCUUCAAGAAAUGCCCACAAGGCUCUGAAUGGCUCCUCUCGGGCUCAUGGUGGUUUUGCUGCAAAUUACAGAGGGCAGUGAAUCCAAUGUAGUAUAGGUCUGUUUUCAUUUCUUUUAUUUGUACAUUACGUGUUGUAUCUACAAACACCGAUUGCCUCAUUUUCUUGCAAACCACUUAUAUAUCCGCUUGUGAACUAUGUUGUAAACUUUUAGUGUCUACAUAGAAAUCUAACCAUUUCUUAGUCAUGUAUUCAUUUAGUUCUGGAACGCUGUUACUAUCUAGAAGACAGUCAUCACCAGUAUUCAUAGUUUAAGUCUUUUGUCAUUGUUACCUCAAUUAUAAAUAUUAAAAAUAUAAAUUCUGGCAAUGAGAAUAUUUUUUUAUUAAAUGAUCAAGGAAAAUGUCAGUAUAUAGUAGAAUAUUAUCAAAUUAUAUCCUAAAAUGUCUAUUUUGCAUAAAAGAGAUAUUCUUCAAUCGAUUCCUUUUUUUCGUGAGCUUUGUGGCUAAUGAAGCGUGUGUUUGUCUUCAUCACUGCUGUAGUUGAAACUGUGUAAGAGUUUUUCAUCUUGCUUAAUCAAUAUUUCCAGAAUCUAUUAGUUCCCCUGGGAUUCUGAAUAUACUCUAUAGCCUAAUUAUAAACCCCUGUAUCGUGUACCUUUUGUGACCAUCUCAAGGUGCAUGCCUAAUCGUUGUGAUAAGCCAAUGGACAUGUUACUAACUGAAAUGAAGAAUAAAAGUCAAACGAUCUGGGGAUAAACUUGAAUCCUAUCUGAUUAAAUGAUUCCUACCCUUC